GACGAACGCUGGCGGCGUGCUUAACACAUGCAAGUCGAACGGAAAGGCCCUGCUUUUGGGGUGUGCUCGAGUGGCGAGCGGGUGAGUAACACGUGAGUAACCUGCCCUUGACUUUGGUAUGACUUCAGGAAAGUGGGUCAUAUACCGGAUAGGAGCUCCUGCUGCAUGGUGGGGGGUGGGAAGUUUCGGCGGUUGGGGAUGGACUCGCGGCUUAUCAGCUUGUUGGUGGGGUAGUGGCUUACCAAGGCUUUGACGGGUAGCCGGCCUGAGAGGGUGACCGGCCACAUUGGGACUGAGAUACGGCCCAGACUCCUACGGGAGGCAGCAGUGGGGAAUAUUGCACAAUGGGCGGAAGCCUGAUGCAGCAACGCCGCGUGCGGGAUGACGGCCUUCGGGUUGUAAACCGCUUUCGCCUGUGACGAAGCGUGAGUGACGGUAAUGGGUAAAGAAGCACCGGCUAACUACGUG
rnacentral:rRNA from 1 species